rnacentral:rRNA from 1 species
UGAACGCUGGCGGCAGGCCUAACACAUGCAAGUCGAGCGGAAACGACAUCUUCGGAUGGGCGUCGAGCGGCGGACGGGUGAGUAACGCGUAGAUAUCUGCCUUUUAGUGGAGGAUAACCCGGGGAAACUCGGGCUAAUACUGCAUAAUCUCUACGGAGCAAAGCGGGGCUCUCUACCCUCGCGCUGAAAGAUGAGUCUACGUCUGAUUAGCUAGUUGGUGCGGUAACGGCGUACCAAGGCGACGAUCAGUAGCUGGUCUGAGAGGAUGAUCAGCCACACCGGGACUGAGACACGGCCCGGACUCCUACGGGAGGCAGCAGUGGGGAAUAUUGGACAAUGGGCGACAGCCUGAUCCAGCCAUGCCGCGUGUGUGAAGAAGGCCUUAGGGUUGUAAAGCACUUUAAGCAGGAAAGAAAAGCGCCGGGUUAAUACCCCGAGCGUAUUGACGGUACCUGCAGAAUAAGCACCGGCUAACUCCGUGCCAGCAGCCGCGGUAAU